GAUUAAGUAGUGCAGUAGUUAGCACGUCGUACUAUCAUCUCUUGGUAUUGGGCAUCGAGUUAUAGAUGUUCGAUACUAAGAGAGAUGCGGAGACCUGGGUUCGACUCCCAGCUUAACCA